rnacentral:rRNA from 1 species
UACGUAGGGUGCGAGCAUUGUCCGGAAUUAUUGGGCGUAAAGAGCUCGUAGGCGGCUUGUCGCGUCGGAUGUGAAAGCCCGGGGCUUAACCCCGGGUCUGCAUUCGAUACGGGCAGGCUAGAGUUCGGCAGGGGAGACUGGAAUUCCUGGUGUAGCGGUGAAAUGCGCAGAUAUCAGGAGGAACACCGGUGGCGAAGGCGGGUCUCUGGGCCGAUACUGACGCUGAGGAGCGAAAGCGUGGGGAGCGAACAGGAUUAGAUACCCCCGUAGUCC